GAUCACGCUACUAAUUAAAUUACUUUAAUUAAAAUUGGAUUAAAAUAUACCCCUCUACAAAAACCUUGGGUGACGCCCGCGAAGAUCCAACACCGAUUUUUCGGUGCACAGGCGCGCCAAUAGAAAGAAAAUCGAUGAUUGUCGAUUUCUAGUUUAGUUGGUCACGAACUCACAAAGAGGCAACACAUCGUCAUUACUUAGGUGACGGAGUUUGGGCAAAAUUGGGAAAAUAUAUAACUAAAAGACCUCGAACAUCAGCCAAUAACCCAUACUAAUAAUAAUCAAGCAGUAGUUAUAUCUGGAGACUUAUUUACAAGAAAGGAAAAAGGUUAUAAUACCGCCGAUGUGUUGCUUUGCUCAAAUUCCGUCCCGUAGCUACUUGUCACAUAGACACUUAGCCUAGUCAAUGUAGAUAGAUUGUAUCAUCAUUUAAUGUGCCAUCAUAUAAAUAUGUGCCAGUUACUGUAAGCAGCUAGGGUAUGGGUUACCCCUAGAGUUACUUUUGAUUGGAUUGGAUAGUACCUAUUUCACAACAUCCAGGAUUGGAUUUAUCA
rnacentral:lncRNA from 1 species